AUGGCGAGCGAGCGCAAUGGCGACGGGGGCAAGGAGCGCGCCGGGGAGAACGGCAACGGCGGCGGCGUGUCCUUGGAGCUGCCGGAGAUCAGGUACACAAAGCUCUUCAUCAACGGGGCCUUCGUCGACGCCGUCUCCGGUAAGACAUUCGAGACCAGGGAUCCGCGGACCGGGGAUGUGAUCGCCAGUAUCGCCGAAGGUGACAAGGAGGAUGUGGACCUGGCCGUCAAAGCCGCAAGAGAAGCCUUCGAUCAUGGCAAAUGGCCUCGCAUGCCCGGAUCCGAAAGAGGAAGGAUUAUGAUGAAGUACGCGGACCUGGUGGAGCAGCACGCGGAGGAGCUGACCCUGCUGGAGAGCCUGGACGCCGGCAAGCCGCGCACGGUGACCAGGGUGGUCGACAUUGGGACCUCCGCCACGUCCCUGCGCUACUUCGCCGGAGCGGCCGACAAGAUCCACGGCGAGACGCUCAAGAUGUCGACGCAGUUCCAGGGGCACACCUUGCGCGAACCCAUGGGCGUCGCCGGGCUCAUCAUCCCCUGGAACUUCCCCGCCAUCAUGUUCUUCUGCAAGGUCGCCCCCGCGCUUGCCGCCGGCUGCACCAUGGUCGUCAAGCCUGCCGAGCAGACCCCCCUCAGCGCGCUCUACUUUGCUCACUUGGCCAAGCAGGCAGGAGUCCCAGAUGGGGUGAUCAAUGUGAUCACCGGCUUCGGCCCAACAGCGGGAGCAGCGAUCGCGUGUCACAUGGACGUCGACAUGGUCAGUUUCACGGGAUCAACAGCAGUUGGGCGGCUCAUAAUGGAGGCCUCGGCGAGGAGCAACCUGAAGCCGGUGUCCCUCGAGCUGGGCGGCAAAUCUCCGCUCAUCAUCUUCGACGACGCGGACGUGGACCUGGCCGUGGAUCUCUCCAUCAGCGCCAACUUCUUCAACAAGGGAGAAGCUUGCCUCGCGGCGAGCCGUGUCUACCUGCAAGAGGGUAUCUACGGUCGAUUCGUGAAGAAGUUGGCGGAGCGCAUGGAGAGUUGGGUUGUCGGGGAUCCUUUCGAUCCGCGCGUCAAUCAAGGGCCGCAGGUGGACAAGGAACAAUAUGAGAAGGUGCUGAGCUACAUCGACCUUGGCAAGCGAGAAGGGGCCAACGUACUGACAGGAGGAAAGCCCUGUGGACAGAGAGGUUACUACAUCGAGCCCACGGUUUUCACCGAUGUUAAGGAUGACAUGAUCAUAGCGAAGGAGGAGAUCUUCGGACCCGUCAUGUGCCUGAUGAAGUUCAGGACGGUGGAGGAGGUGAUCGCCAAGGCCAACGACACGAGGUACGGGCUGGCGGCGGGGGUGGUGACUAAGGACAUCGACGUGGCCAACAGGAUGACGCGGUCGAUCCGCGCCGGGGUGGUGUGGGUCAACUGCUACUUCGCCAUGGACGCCGACUGCCCGUUUGGGGGCCGCAAGAUGAGCGGGUUCGGUAAGGACGCCAGCAUGCACGCGCUCGACAAGUUCCUCGCCGUCAAGGCCGUCGUCACCCCUGUGUACGACUCGCCCUGGCUCUAG
rnacentral:rRNA from 1 species